AUAAAUAAAUAAAUGAAUAAACAAUUUAUACACAACUUGACAUUUUGCUGAUCUGUCUUUACAAGCUCAAUGUUCUGUUAUAUUAAAUACAGCGAAAUUCUUCCCGUGCGGCCAUCUCGUAUUGAGAAAUUUUCAAAGAUUUUUACGCGGAGGAAGACUCAAUUUCAAACAUUCGAGGAUACUAUAGAAGGCGAUGCUGAUGCCCCAAUCUCUCUGAAUAAAUUAACCAGCCAGUUAGCUCUGGAAAAAUCUUUACAAUUGAUUAGCAAAUUGCGCUCGCAGCAAGUUGACGUCAAAUCUUGCCUAUCCGAGAACAUAAAUCACCCCGAAACAAUAAAUUUCGUUGCUGAACCUUCUCCUCCGUUGAAAUCUGGGGAACGUCAUUCGUCAUUUACGAAAAUAUCUUCCUUUAGUACAACACCAAGCAGUUUUAAAAGUGUUCGUAGGAACCAACGAUUUGCUGAAGGAAAGCCUCAAGUGCUAAGACGCAGUCGACUAAGUCUUGACGAGCCGAACAUUACUUUUAUGAUCAAUCCAAAUUGCUUCGUUCAGAUUAUGAUUGAUUACAUAUAUGAACAACUUAAUAUCGAUAAAACAGUGUCCGGAAUUAAUUUAGAUUUGUGUGACAUAGAGGGCAACAUGAUGAAAUUGUUUUCUUACGAGAAACAUGAAUCUGGCAAAAAUAUAUUGGAAGAUCGUAAAACAUACUACGUUGUUCAAUAUAAACUUUUUUGAUUAAUUAAGUUUUUAGUUAAUGAUGAUGGUUCAUUUAGUUCAAUUGAGCCCAUGUUUCAUAACACAAAUAAAGAAGAACUAGAAUUAGUAAUAAAAGUAAAUAAAAACAUUAAAAAGCAAAUGGGUUCGAGACAAGCUUCUCAUUCUGCCAGUGUGAAAUCAGAAAUAAGGCGUAAAGAAUUUCUGACACAUAGUGCUAAAAGAUUUUCAACCAAAUAAAAUACUUUGUUUACUAAAAAA